UACGAAGGGGGCUAGCGUUGUUCGGAAUCACUGGGCGUAAAGGGCGCGUAGGCGGCUUUAUAAGUCGGGGGUGAAAGCCUGUGGCUCAACCACAGAAUUGCCCUCGAUACUGUAGAGCUUGAGACCGGAAGAGGUAAGUGGAACUGCGAGUGUAGAGGUGAAAUUCGUAGAUAUUCGCAAGAACACCAGUGGCGAAGGCGGCUUACUGGUCCGGUUCUGACGCUGAGGUGCGAAAGCGUGGGGAGCAAACAGG
rnacentral:rRNA from 1 species